rnacentral:misc_RNA from 1 species
UUGAAAAUAUGUUGAACCGGUCAUCGAGCAGAGAUAUGUUUCUGAAUGGAGGAACAAAAGUGGUGUUUGUAUCGAAAAGCACUGCGUUUGAGACGCGAAGAAUCUGAUUUUUGUAGUCGAUUUGGUGGAUAAUAUAAUCAUUAUCUUGUAGUCUGAGGAUUGGACGGCUAUUAUGACAAACGAGAUUGAAUCCAGGGUACCCACAGAAAGAUUCUUGUUGGUCCUGGAUAUAAAAUGGGAAGUCUAUAAUUUGGCCAUCGCCACAGGAUUUUGGGACCCUGCAGGCCAAGUACUGAGGAUGUGUGCAUAUG